CAGAGUAAUAUGUGCUAUAAAACUUGGAUUCAGCAAUGAGAUAAAAAGUGUAAAUCAGUGUGCAUCCCUGCACCACACACUCUUUGGAUUAUUAGGUUUUUGUCUGCGACGUCCUUUGGUAAGAUCUGUACAGUACACCCCCUCAUUCUAUGUAAUCCACCCCCCAAAAGCUCUGUCAAUAUCCCACUCUAGAGAUUGAUUUUUCCCUGCUCCCGCUCCCUCGUUAACCUGUACGAAACCCGCGGCGACCUGAAUUCCCAGUUGGGGAAUGCAUUCCAACCAAGUGAAAUUGUCCAACAGCAUUUCCCAUUUGCGGGAACCCGUAGAUCCGAACUUGUGCUGCCCUUUUUACACGUUACAAGGCCGGAUAUAUGGGAUCCUGCCGAUGGGUGGAAAAAGCAUCGAUCGAUUGGCGACUCCCAGAAGAAAAAAAAAUCCUUGGUGGGGUGGUGGUCCUGGUGAAUGAACCAACAACAAACAAAUCGUGGAAAAAGCGAUUCACUUUGUGUCUCCAUGUGUGUAUGUGACUGUGUGUGUUUCUAUUUUGUGGUGCAAGGCAAAUUCCAACAAACCAGCAGCUUUCCCUCAGUUUUUUGUGUGCAGGAAAAUCGUGAAAAAUGCAACCAAACCAAGGCAAUACCUGCAAAAUUACACAUCGACAAUAGUGGCGCGGUCAUGUGAGUGAGAAUUUCAGCCCCUGGUGGGUGUGAGACGAUCUUCAUUGUGUAAGUGUGUGUACAAAUACGCGCCCGUAGUAGUAGUGGUGGUGGAAACGGAAAAAGGAUGCAGAAUCCGUAAAUUUGGACCACUGCCAACUGAUUUUGAGAAAAAAAAAAAACUGUGUGUGUGAGCUCCAUAAGGCGAUCGAAAACAAUAGCCAAUUGGUAGCAAUCGACAGGAGAAACACAAAUUCCAGUUCUUAGUUUUCCCCGAGCUUUCCUUCCUCCAACCCCUCUCAUCCCACACUAUAUGCAAUUUAAUUUAGAGUAAGCAAAAUUGGUACAACGAAAAAAAAAACAAAAAAAAUCGAAAUAAAAGCAAAACUACAAACAA